UUUGCUUUCUGAAAAGCCUUACCGGACAAAACGUGUAAGCAAAUGUUUACAAAUUACAGUAUAUAUAGGCUCAACAUUAUUUUUUCAGAAUAAGAUAAAAUCCAUUAAGUAUAGUCGGAAACGUUUACAAAUUACAGGAUAUACAGGCUCAACAUUAUUUCUUCUGAAUAAGAUAAAAUCCAUUAAAUAUAGUCGGAACAUACUGUUCU
rnacentral:lncRNA from 1 species